rnacentral:tRNA from 1 species
GAGGGUAUAGCUCGGUGGUAGAGCACAUGCUUAGCAUGCACAGGAUCCUAGGUUUAAUCCCCAGUACCUCCA